rnacentral:tRNA from 1 species
CUUAAAAUCCGUCGACUUUUAAAAUCGUGAGGGUUCAAGUCCCUCUAUCCCCA